AAUGUUUCAACAUGGGUGUGCGACUUCUUGCAUACAACGAGAAUAAAAGGUUGACAAGUGCUAAUGUGAUGGUUUCAAAGCAUUACAUGGACUUGAGAUUCAAUGUGAGUAAACUAUUUUUAUUAUACAAGUAUACUCUUGUGCAAUUUCUUAAGUAGUAUAUCCAUAGUAAGAAGUCUCUUUCAUGUUUCUAAAUUUUUUUUGUUUUCUGUAGAAACUGUAUGAAACUGCACAAAAGCCACGGUUAGAGAAGCUUAAUGUCCAAGAGUUGGCUAAAUCAUUAAAAAC
rnacentral:lncRNA from 1 species